AGCUCUCGCCGGAGCCGAGGCCAGCCGAGCGUCCGCCGCUGCCCGUGCGCCUCUGCGCCUCCGCGCCAUGGCCGGCCUCAACUCCCUGGAGGCGGUGAAACGCAAGAUCCAGGCCCUGCAGCAGCAGGCGGACGAGGCGGAAGACCGCGCGCAGGGCCUGCAGCGGGAGCUGGACGGCGAGCGCGAGCGGCGCGAGAAAGCUGAAGGUGAUGUGGCCGCCCUCAACCGACGCAUCCAGCUCGUUGAGGAGGAGUUGGACAGGGCUCAGGAACGACUGGCCACGGCCCUGCAGAAGCUGGAGGAGGCAGAAAAAGCUGCAGAUGAGAGUGAGAGAGGAAUGAAGGUGAUAGAAAACCGGGCCAUGAAGGAUGAGGAGAAGAUGGAGAUUCAGGAGAUGCAGCUCAAAGAGGCCAAGCACAUUGCGGAAGAGGCUGACCGCAAAUACGAGGAGGUAGCUCGUAAGCUGGUCAUCCUGGAGGGUGAGCUGGAGAGGGCAGAGGAGCGUGCGGAGGUGUCUGAACUGUGAGUGGCAGAACAGGACUGAGCGAGGCUGGCUCGAUUCCUGGGGCGGAGUGGGAGGGAGCUGGCUGUGUUGGGAAUUGGCCCUGACCGGGGCCUCUGCUCAAGUGGACGGGUGUCAGAGGCUCAUGGCUCAUCCUUUCUUUUGGCUUCUGUGACAAAGAGGUGGUGACUUGUUCUUACUGCCAUGGGAAGCACUGCCCACGUGUUGACCCUUUCUGCAAAGAUAUGAGGAAAUAGGAGUGAGACAGGAGGCAGCAGGGAAGCCCAGAAGUCCCAUUUUCCCAGAGAGGAUAUCUCAGGGGGCUGUGCCAUCUUAACAGAACACUGACCUGCUCCAGAAGGCAGGCUCCCCCGG
rnacentral:sRNA from 1 species